CAGGCCUGUAGGGCUGCUGCGGAUUUAGGUGAGCAUACGGUCCUGCAGUUAGCCAUGUGGCAGGCUGAGGAAAGGCAGGCCUGUAGGGCUGCUGCGGAUUUACGUGAGCAUACGGUCCUGCAGUUAGCCAUGUGGCAGGCUGAGGAAAGGCAGGCCUGUAGGGCUGCUGCGGAUUUAGGUGAGCAUACGGUCCUGCAGUUAGCCAUGUGGCAGGCUGAGGAAAGGCAGGCCUGUAGGGCUGCUGCGGAUUUACGUGAGCAUACGGUCCUGCAGUUAGCCAUGUGGCAGGCUGAGGAAAGGCAGGCCUGUAGGGCUGCUGCGGAUUUAGGUGAGCAUACGGUC